GAUGAAGAACGUAGCGAAAUGCGAUACGUAAUGUGAAUUGCAGAAUUCAGUGAAUCAUCGAAUCUUUGAACGCAUAUUGCGCUCUCUGGUAUUCCGGAGAGCAUGCUUGUUUGAGUAUCAGUAAACACCUCAACUUCCAUAUCUUUUUUGAAAUGGGAGUUGGACUUGAGUGAUCCCAACGCUUUUCCUCACCGAAAAGUGGCGGGUUACUUGAAAUGCAGGUGCAGCUGGACUUUUCUCUGAGCUAUAAGCAUAUCUAUUUAGUCUGCCUAAAAAACAGAUUAUUACCUUUGAUGCAGCUAACAUAAAGGAGAUUAGUUCUUGUGCUGACUGAUGCAGGAUUCACAAAGACAGGCUUCGGCCGACUUUGUAAACUCGAUCUCAAAUCAAGUAAGACUACCCGCUGAACUUAAGCAUAUCAAUAAGCGGAGGA
rnacentral:misc_RNA from 1 species